rnacentral:tRNA from 1 species
UGGGGUUGCUGAGAUUCGAACUCAGGUUACGGCGUCCCGAACGCCGAGGGAUGGACCAGGCUACCCCACAACCCC